rnacentral:tRNA from 8 species
GCGAGAGUAGCUCAGUUGGUAGAGCUUUAGCCUUCCAAGCUAAAUGUCGCCGGUUCGAGCCCGGUCUCUCGCUCAA